rnacentral:rRNA from 1 species
ACGUACACUCCUGCGGGAGGCAGCAGUGGGGAAUUUUGGACAAUGGGCGCAAGCCUGAUCCAGCCAUGCCGCGUGCGGGAAGAAGGCCUUCGGGUUGUAAACCGCUUUUGUCAGGGAAGAAAAGGUUCUGGCUAAUACCUGGGACUCAUGACGGUACCUGAAGAAUAAGCACCGGCUAACUACGUGCCAGCAGCCGCGGUAAUACGUAGGGUGCAAGCGUUAAUCGGAAUUACUGGGCGUAAAGCGUGCGCAGGCGGUUAUGCAAGACAGAGGUGAAAUCCCCGGGCUCAACCUGGGAACUGCCUUUGUGACUGCAUGGCUAGAGUACGGUAGAGGGGGAUGGAAUUCCGCGUGUAGCAGUGAAAUGCGUAGAUAUGCGGAGGAACACCGAUGGCGAAGGCAAUCCCCUGGACCUGUACUGACGCUCAUGCACGAAAGCGUGGGGAGCAAACAGGAUUAGAUACCCUGGUAGUCCCAUGA